GUGCUCACUUCAGCAGCACAUAUACUAAAAUUAGAAUGAUACAGAGAUUAGCAUGGCCCCUGUGCAAGGAUGACACGAAAAUUUGUGAAGUGUUCCAUAUUUUA